rnacentral:rRNA from 1 species
UACAGAGGUCCCGAGCGUUGUUCGGAUUCAUUGGGCGUAAAGGGUGCGUAGGCGGCGGGGUAAGUUUGAUGUGAAAUUCCGGGGCUCAACCCUGGCAUGGCAUUGAAUACUACCUUGCUAGAGUACCGGAGAGGAAACUGGAAUUUACGGUGUAGCAGUGAAAUGCGUAGAGAUCGGGAAGAACAUCGGUGGCGAAGGCGCUCUACUGGACCACAACUGACACUCAGGGACGAAAGCUAGGGGAGCGAAUGGG